UCGCUCAGAUGUCACCGAAGAUUCAAAGAGGAGGGGGUGCCUGUACUUUUUAUUCUUGCUUCCCCUUCUUAGCUGCUAGGCAGGGAUUUUUUCUCUGCCUAAAAUGGCUAAGACUGAGUCUUUAGUCUCCAAGAGAAGUCCUGGUGAGGGAGAGGAGCCCUCAGAGGGGCCUGCUUCUGCCAGGAGCAACCCCUCCUACAGCAGGCAGGUGGGCAGUGAAGCUGAGCUUCUUCACUACAGCCCAUGUUCCUGUCCUCACCUGGGCCCACUUGGAUAAGAGGUCUGAAGCUUUCAGGAAACGGAAGUCUCUCCGUCCAUCAGCCUCCAGCCUAUGCCCUUCUGUCACUUCCCAAAGCAGAAGCAGUACAGCAAGGUCUGAGAGGGCAGAACAUGCCUUUGUCCACUCCCUUAUUAUCCUGAACAGCUGAGUUGGAGCCACACACACCCUGUGGCCUCAAACAGCAAUAUUAAUUUUAAAAAGAAAAUCCUGCUUUUGAUUGGCUGUGCCAACUGUUUGACAGCACAGCUUUCCAGCAACUCAGAAUUUCUUGGUAAAUAGGGAAUCGUAACAAAAUAGGGAACAGGAACAUUACUUGAGGACUGAGAUUUAAAAUGGGAAGGCCAAAUUUACCUUCUUAGUUGCACCUAAAUUAAUAAUCUAAUUUUGUAAAGAAAUCAGAACCUAAACAGCUGCUGGUGGAUUUCUUGUAACUGUUCUAGAGAGUCACAUUAUGUUUUUUGGAGGAUUUGGAUGCAUAUGCUAUAGAAGAAUGAUAACCUAUUCUUAGGGUUUGCUUCUAUUCAUUGUUGAUUUUUAUUUUUUUUUUUAAUCUAUCAGUAUAACAAGUAAAUAUACAAGUGCUUUAAAACUUAAAGCACAUAAAAACUAUAUUGCAUUCAACAGAAGGGCCUAGAAUGUAUUUCUUGUUGAGCACGAGCUUUGAUAAGAUUAGUUGUCAAGUAACUAUUUACUUCCCAAUAUUACUAGUUUUAAGCUGAUGUUUCCCUAUCAAACUAGCUUCUUGUAUAUUUAGAGUCUUCUAAGAAGUGAAGUGUGAUUUCUCUAAACUAAUAGGCUAUUUAAGCCUUAAUUCCCUGUUAUAUAAAUGUUUUGUUAAGGCUAAAGCUUAGUUAUUUAACUGAGAAAUCUUUUAGUCUGCUUGAAAUAAUUCUUAAACAUUAAAGCUGAUUGUAAUGUUAAUUAAAACCAGUGGUUUAAGGCAAGAACUCUGUCCACGCCUCUGUAAAGGAAAUUAAUACAUCUUUAGUUAGAAUUGCAAGCUGUAGAAAGCAUAGCAGAUGUGUAGACUUUCUUUUACAUCCAGACUGGGUUUUUCAAAUAUGGAAUACUAUAUGAAUGUAGCAGUUGCUAUUAAUCCAUGGGGGAUGUGCCAAUAGACUGGUCCUUAAGUUCACUUACCUGUUACCCACUCUAGAAAGGCCCUGAACUUUAGAAAAAUGGAAAGAAAAUUCUCACACUAAAAGCAGGAAGCAGAUAUACACUGGGUGUGAAUAGAUUAAAACUGGAAUUUAGAAGACGAUGGUGUCUCAGAGUCAGAGCACUGAAAUUCAGUGAUGGCCUUACAGGUAAGUAAUACGUCCAGAAUGCUCCAUUCUGUGACAGUUCAUCUGUGUAUGAUGACAGUGAGAUGAUGUGGGGUUGCUUGUAAAAACACUGUUGACCCAUCUAGCCCUGGGAUCUUGCCUUGUGAUCUUUCUUCACAUGCAGUGCUAGGAGCUCAGCCUCCUCUUCUGUUAAGCUUUCACCUGCGUGGGCAGAAGAACCAACCUAUAACUGACUGUUUCCAACACUGGGCAGGAAUGUAGACAGAAGUCAGUGCUGAAAAACUUUAGGACCACAUAAUUCAGGCACACAAUUCAGCCACUCAAAAUAGGGAAUUCCAGGUGUAAAUCUGCCUGCACAACUUUAAUUGACAUUUUGCCUGGUGCAGGUGCACACUGCACCUCAUUUAUAUUCCAGCUCCCCUGAUUCAAAUGACAUUUUUUGCUGGAUCAAAACUUGAGUAAACUGGGGAGGAGAGCGUCCCCCUUCUCUUUUUUUCCCUGAGUGCAUUUCCACUCACUGUCCUGCAAAUUUCAGCACUGCAUACCUUGUUCCUUACAUGGCCUCCCUCUCCGCUUUCCCUUGCACCUCCCGCGGUGUUUCCAAGGCUGCAUGUCCCCCUCCUUUUUAUUUCUCCUUAUCUUUGUGACUUGCAGCCAACCUGUGGAGGUUGUAGCAGUGUGCUGGGGCGGAGUGAAGACAUGGUGGGAGGGUGCAGCCUGGCACCUGCUGAACCCUAGCGCCCAAAGCACGAGGCUGCACCUGCAGGAUGUGUGGGAUCCCUACAGCUCCGUAAGUGCCUGCACACUUGAAGUCUGCUGUGGCUAAUUAAACCCUUUUCCAGCACACCAGGGGAAAAAAACAAGUAAUAUCCGUCAGCUUCUUGCCACCCAAACUGCAGCACGCAUUAGAAAGUCCAGCGUCGGCUUCACUUUGCCUGACUUUUCCCCUGUGUGAAACAGGGGGUACAGCUGUGUCAGUUCCUUUUAGUCUAUAAAGGAAAAGUGUUGCAUAGGUGUGAGUAUUAUUAGCUGCUUAAUAGAACUAGACAGCAUUAAAAAUGAACCUGGGGCAGAUGGGGUGCCAUAGCAGUGUCAGUUUAAACCCAGUUAGCUGUAGAAUUAUUGCUGAGAGCUGCUAAAGUGCAGGGCAUAAGUAAUUGCUGUAGCAUUCCUGUAACUGUCAGUAAUUUCUCUCUAGCACAGCCGCAUACAGCAGAGUUUCUCUACAGCUACAAGGAUUGAUUCCUGGCUCACAUUUUUCAAGUCUUUCAGGAAAACAAAAUUAAAAAAAUAAACCAAACAGUUGAGCUGCUUUCUCUUCUUCCAGCUCAGAAGAAGCAUUCACUGACAGACUGCUGUGUUCUUUUGUACUACUUGGAACUCCGUGGUCAGUGUUAUUUUUCCAUACAGGUAGGUUUUCCUGUGUCUAGAUGACAAGGUCAGUUCUGGUAACCAGAAAAGCUGAGAGAUGACUUCCUAUCGAGAUACAAUCUCAGUAUAAAUACAUCACCAAAACCUUUCUGCCUUAUUUCAGCUCAUGGAAGAGCAGCCAGAUGCAGACAUGGCUGGUUUGAGGUCCCUACACUGCUAUGAAGGGUUGAGAGGUGUGAAAAUCUGCAGGACUAAGCUGGGAAAGACUUUGAGGUUUUGUGAGAGAACUUCUGAGGGCUGAGGGAGCAGCAGGAUGUGCAGAGUAAUACAGCCAUCCAUGGUGCAGCUGCGUCCAGUUCUAGGAGCUAUCUUCUACCAGACUAUUUUCCACUCUCUUUCCACUGUUACCUUUCAGUACAGUGCCAAAACCCAUUUUCCUCAGGCUGUGUAAUGUUUUGUAAAACAAGGUGCUUGGUCAACUUAGUUCAUAACAAUGAAACUUCCAUAUUUAAUUUGGAGAUUUUUUUUCUAGAGAGCCCCUGUUUGUUUGUAUUUCAGCUUUCCACCUGUGACUUCUGCAUUCACAGCCUACUGCUGUGUUCCUACUGAAUUUCAGGGUUUUGGUCCCAAGUAGCCCUGGUGAAUCAGUGUGUCUCAGGAGUGUCUGCAUUUGCAUGCAAACGGCUUUUGAAGAGACCUCCAGCACAGCUCUGCUGAGACACUGCCUGUGCUGGGGCGAGGAACCCCCCUGAAGUGAAAGACUGCCUGUCAGACUCGACUACCUGUCUGUUAAUCUGACCACUUCAGACACCGAAUACCACACAGAACCCAUGUUGUUCCAAGAUGUGAACUCAUACACAGAGUAAGCUGACUCUUGACCAGUGGGUGCAGACAAGCAUCAGGACCUCUUGCUGGCCUUACAGUGUAACACACUGGGAACUUCUGAUGGUUCAGUUUGCUGCCUGGCUAACCUGGACAUCAGGUUGCAGGAAGACACUGUGUUACUGCUGCUGUGUAAGUCAGAGAUCAGCAAUACUUAGGUCACUUUAACAUAGCAUGCAUAUACCCUGCAGCCUGCUGCUAAGGGCCUGGCAAACCAGGGUCGAUCAUAUACUGUGAGACAAAGGCCUGAGAAGGAAUCAUGAAGGUCUGAGUGCUGCCAGCUUUGUUCAGAAGGCCUUCUGCACUCACCUCAUGGAGCCGGCCCCAGAGUCAUGAGAACCAAACAGAAGUGUGUAUGGAGGGUUAGCUCUCUCAUUUUGGUAGUAUUAUUUUGGUUCUUAUUGGAAACACCCAGCCAUUUGGUGCUGGUUAGAUGUGCUUCUUGGUUUUUGGAAGCAAGGACUUCUAUAUGCUAACAAAUUUUUGAGCUGAGCUUUAGACUGCAGAAGCAGUUCACCGAGGUUCUCUUUUUAGCUCUUAGAACUUCUGUGGUCAACCCAGUGUGUUAAUGCAGCCAAACCAGUUCCCUAACGCCUGAACUUUCCAGAGCUGGGAAGGAAAUAAAGUUUAAAAAAAAUAAUAAUAAAGUGACCAAAACCAGACAAACAGACAAGAAAUGUGUGGAUUUCCUUGUAAGAGGGGGAAAAAAAGGAGACGACAGAGUUUGAUCUGCUAUGUAAGUUUGUGAGGAAGGCUUGAUUGAUUUUAACCAGUUUAUUUCAACUAAUACUUAGAAUUUUUUCACUAGCGUUUCUGAACCUAGAUCAUUUUUUGCAAGGCAUCUGCCUCUGUGGAUCUCUCUUUCUCUUGUGGUCCCUCUCCAUUUGUUGUACAGUAGCCAUCAAUACACCACCUUUGCCCUCUGCGUGACGUGACUUAAAACCCACAUUUCUUAAAAGCAACCGGCUCCUGCUGUGGAAUGAUGCAGCUUUUGCCCUCUGUACAACAACCCCAGCCACACAAGUAGUCGUGAUCUCAUGCCGGAAAACUUCUGAAGGACAGCGGCCUUGUGCAGAACAACAAUCUCAAGCAGCACAUCAGUGUCACGCUGCUCGCUCGGUCUCCUCACCACUUCUCCGGUUUCAAGGUAUUUUUUGCUUUUGUUCCCCGAACACUGUAAAAAUAUUUAGCAUGCUUAGGAUUGACAGUAAUUAUCCUUUGCAAGAGUGAGCAGUUCGGCUGAUCAGGAUCGUUAAAGAAAACACCCGCAGACAUACACAUUCACUGAGGGGGUCUCAGCAGUUGAUUUCUGAGUUAUUUCCAAGGUAGAUGUAACUUUUAAGCUUUUUCUCAGUUUCCUUCCAAACCUCUGGAGUUCAGGUUCCAGUGCAGCCCCACAGGGAUUUUUGUGCCCCCGGUGCCAUUUUCUCCUCAAACAGUGGUUUGGCUGAAGCACAGACAGGAGCCUUUGCUGUCGAUGUGGCUCCCUUAUGCCGUGGCUACAGAAAGCUCCCAUCUCUCAUCUAUUUAAAACAUCUAUUUUAGAGCAGUUUUAAAUAGAUGAGAACUAAGGAGGAAGGGACCGCUGUGCUCUUAACUCCGGCUUUUGCCUGGAAUUCUGUCAAUGCGAAACCCUCCUGCUCCCCAGGCCGGCUGUGCCAGUAACGUUUAAGAGGAAAAUCUCAUGGGUUUGGAGGCAGGGUCAGUGUCCUUAAAGCUCUGGAAAGGAGCAGAGGAGGACCUGCGGAGGAAGACCUAAAUUCCAAGCUGCUGCAUUCAUAAGCUGUUUGAUUAUCCGAGAGGGUUUUUUUGGGGAAAGAACUCAAACACGUCAGAUUCUGAGCAUAUGAAAAGAUGGAAUCCUCCUGGUGCUCUGCAAACUUUUUAUUUACAACGCUACAAAGUGGCAUCAGUUAAGAUACACUGUUGAUAAACGUAGGCAGUUCUGCUUACACGUUAAUUCCUGGGGUACGCUUUGGGUUCGUGUUUCGUCCUUUGGGAAACACACGACAACAAC